rnacentral:rRNA from 1 species
AUUGAACGCUGGCGGCAUGCCUUACACAUGCAAGUCGAACGGUAACGGGCCUUCGAGUGCCGACGAGUGGCGAACGGGUGAGUAAUACAUCGGAACGUGCCCGAUCGUGGGGGAUAACGAGGCGAAAGCUUUGCUAAUACCCCAUACGAUCUACGGAUGAAAGCAGGGGACCGCAAGGCCUUGCGCGGACGGAGCGGCCCAUGGCAGAUUAGGUAGUGGGUGGGAUAAAAGCUUACCAAGCCGACGAUCUGUAGCUGGUCUGAGAGGAUGAGCAGCCACACUGGGACUGAGACACGGCCCAGACUCCUACGGGAGGCAGCAGUGGGGAAUUUUGGACAAAGGGCGCAAGCCUGAUCCAGCCAUGCCGCGUGCAGGAUGAAGGCCUUCGGGUUGUAAACUGCUUUUGUACGGAACGAAAAGCCUUCUUUUAAUACAGGAGGGUCAUGACGGUACCGGAAGAAUAAGCACCGGCUAACUACGUG